rnacentral:rRNA from 1 species
UACAGAGGUCCCAAGGCGUUGUUCGGAUUCACUGGGCGUAAAGGGUGCGUAGGUGGUGAGGUAAGUCGGAUGUGAAAUCUCCGAGCUCAACUCGGAAAUGGCAUUGGAAACUACCUUGCUCGAGGGUUGGAGGGGGACUGGAAUGCUUGGUGUAGCAGUGAAAUGCGUAGAUAUCAGGCGGAACACCAGUGGCGAAGGCGAGUCCCUGGACACUCCUGACACUG